GGGCCCGCACAAGCGGCGGAGCAUGUUGCUUAAUUCGACGCAACGCGAAGAACCUUACCAAGGCUUGACAUGCAGGGAAAAGCCGUGGAGACACGGUGUCCGUAAGGGUCCUGCACAGGUGGUGCAUGGCUGUCGUCAGCUCGUGUCGUGAGAUGUUGGGUUAAGUCCCGCAACGAGCGCAACCCUUAUCCUAUGUUGCCAGCGGAUAAUGCCGGGGACUCAUGGGAGACUGCCGGGGUCAACUCGGAGGAAGGUGGGGAUGAGGUCAAGUCAUCAUGCCCCUUAUGUCUUGGGCUGCAAACAUGCUACAAUGGCCGGUACAGAGGGCUGCGAGACCGUAAGGUGGAGCGAAUCUCAAAAAGCCGGUCUCAGUUCGGAUUGGGGUCUGCAACUCGACCCCAUGAAGUCGGAGUCGCUAGUAAUCGCGAAUCAGCAACGUCGCGGUGAAUACGUUCCCGGGCCUU
rnacentral:rRNA from 1 species